UUGUUUAGGAUUCUCUACAGUAAAUAUGCAUUUUUGCCCUUCCACUCCACCUGUCGACCAUCGCAGCGUCUUCUGGCAUCUUCUCUUUCUUUUCACUAUUUUUCCUUCUGUUGCUUUUCACUUCUUUUCCUCUCCCCUUUUCUCUGUUGUUCUGUCUCCCAGAAACUCUUCGUUCUCCAUUUGCCGUUAUCAUCCAACUCCAAAUUAGCUGCUCUUCGUCAACUCCAUCUACUUUAAUUUUCCUGCAUAGCUUUCUCUCUGAAGCUCAAAAUUCUUGGCCAAACAGAACAGCGAACUUCCCGAUGGUUACCAGCUCCAGUUCAAGGUCGAGAAGCACUCAGACAAUGACUUCCCCGACGCCAAGAUUUUGAAACGUUGGUCUUCGAAUAUUGGGGUUUUUGUCUGCAAGCUUGCAAGGCUGCAAGCCCUUUGUGAUCAAAAGUUGCAAUUUAAUCCUACAUCGACAAAUUUCUCUGAUGGCCACUACUAGAGGUUGACAUUCUGAUUCGAUGGCUACAUUGGCAACAAAUUUAUUGGGAAAUGCAUCUUCAAAGGUAUGCCUUUGGAGCAAUUUAAAGGAGUUGGAACUUCAACGUUGCAUGGAGGAAAUUGUCAUAAGUUCGGUGGCCAGAGCUUGACGUUGGCAUGACAACAAAUUUACUCGCAAAUGCAUAUUCAAAAGUAUAGAUGGACUGGUCAAUACGAAGCGCAUCUGUGGGACAAUAGUUGCAACAAAGAAGGGUAGAGCAGGAAGGGAAGCAAGCUGGGGAAUUACAAUCAAAUGAUGGAUGUUCAGUUUACUUGGGAAAAGCAAUGGAUUCUCAAGAGGGGCCUGAAUGUACAGAAGAAUUACAAGCAAACGUCAUCAAUAUGGAAGAUGGCUAGCCAGGAUUGGAAAUGUUGCUGUAAAUAAGGAUCUCUUGGGACAUUCAAUGAGUGAUUUUUCAAACUUUAUUUGCUUUUUGUAUCUAAAAAAUUUCCUAAUAUUUUUAAUAUAAUCAGUGAAACCACGAUUUCAUGUACUAGCUAGCUACUAGGAUGCUUGGUUUUUAUAUGAUUCUGAUUAUUUGAUGUAUCUGAAUAAAGUUUUGUUCAAAGUAGGAAAGUCAAUUUAAACUCAACCUUAUUUACAAGCUUGAGGAGAGAUUUUAGUCUUAUAAUGAUUAAUAAUAAGAUACAAUUAGGGUAAUACAUGUACUGCACAUAUUGCUAACUAUGCUAGACCAAAAGUAUCAUCAUUACUGCUUAAACAUACCAAUCAGUUUACAUUCUGUGAAUGCAUAUGACGACUGAGGGGUUUAACCCUUAAUUGCAAUCUCAUCCUGACCGAUGUGUAAUUUUGUGUUUACACCAUAUUAAUCAAUAUUUUUUUCAUAUGUUUAAUCAAACUCUUAUUUAAUGUACAUUUCGCAUACACAAACGGGCAAAAACUUCUUGACAUCCUAUAAAAUUGCCAGAAAAAGGUCAUUUCCAACUCAUGCAAAACCAGACUUAUUUCCCGCAAAAAAACACUAGGGUACCUCCUUUAAACUACUUUUCCCAUUCUUCUUCGGUCAGAAGAUGUCUUUUUGCCAGUUCUGAACAAAGUGAUGUAGAAGAUAUCUCAGAAGAAAAUGCGCAGGACUUUGACCGAGUUCCUAUCAAGCUAUUGAAAAAAAGUCAUCUCCAAUUGCUGCAAAAAACAGAUUCCGAUUCUUCCAAAAAAGAUUAGGUAACUACUCUUUAUACUUGCUUUUUGUACAAGUUUUAAUUUAUCUGUACAUAAAUUCAACAAAUCUAUUCUCAUUUUCCAAUUUUUUAAGAAGCUGUCUAUCAAACUGACUACAGUCGAAAUUUAAGAUUCUUAGCACAUGCUUUGUUUUGAAGCUGUCUAUCAAACUCACUACUCUUUAUAGUUGCCAAAUGUUGUUAUCUCACUGUCUUUACACAGUUUAUUUAAUCAGUUUUUUAGUAUAAGCAGUGCUGUCCUUGAUUAAAUAAUAAUGUCAAACAAAAUUAAGAGAAAAAUAUAACCGCCCAAUAAGAAUGACUUACCGAAUUACAUCACAAUAACAAAAGGUAAAGAAUAAAUAAAAUGGCAAGUAAAUGGUUUAUAUCAACUGAUUGAGCACCUACUUCAUAUGGGAAGAAGAUGUCACAAAGGCAAAUCAGGGAACAACAAUUACUUCAUAUGGGAAUAAGAGGUUAGUUUAAUUGUAAUUAUUUUUUUAUUUGGUCAAAUUCGAAGUUGGUUGGCUUGCAUCUAAUUUGGUCGUUUGCUUGCACAAAGUCACUGGUUUUAUUAAUGCUGGUGAUCAUCCAAGUUAAUGUGAAAACGAUAUCAUUAUUUUGUUAUGGUGAGAACUGAUUUAAAUUAAGAAAUUGAGUUACUUUUUUAUACCUCUUUUGUGAUCAUUUACUGAGAAUUUGUUAAUUGUUUUAAUAUAUAUGAGAUAGGAUUUCUACUUU